GCACACACCAAACUGCCAUUCUCCAGCAGGCCUGUUUCUGGAGUUGGGAGAUGUCAGCCUGCGGGGAGGGGGCGGGGGGAGGAGGAAGAGGUGGGGCUCUACUCUGAUUAAUUACCUUCGGCAUUCAGGGGUGGGGCUUCCUUCAGCCAUCUGCCUGAGAUAUGGGAGGGAGCUGGAGAAAGGAGGAGGGGGAGAGACUGCCAGAGAGGAAGAGAAAAGAAAGGAAGAAACACUAGAAAGAAAAAGGAAGGAAAACGGGAUAGAGGGAGAGCAACCGCCCACCCUUAAAGAGCUAGGCUGGGGGGGGAGGGGGGAGGAAGGAGAGCCGUGGAAGGUGUGCCCCAGCACGACUGCUCUGAAGUGUUCAUCUUCUGUGCCAUUCGGUUUAUGGAGAAGAAGAAAAUGGUAACUCAGGGUAACCAGGAGCCAACAGCAACUCCUGAUGCAAUGGUUCAGCCUUUUACUACAAUCCCGUUUCCGCCACCUCCACAGAAUGGAAUUCCCGCCGAGUAUGGAGUGCCACACACUCAGGACUAUGCCGGCCAGACCAGUGAGCAUAACCUGACCCUCUACGGCAGCACGCAAGCCCAUGGGGAGCAGAGUAGCAACUCCCCCAGCACACAGAACGGAUCUCUGACGACAGAAGGGGGCGCACAGACAGACGGCCAGCAGUCACAGACACAAAGCAGUGAAAAUUCAGAGAGUAAAUCUACCCCGAAACGACUGCAUGUCUCUAAUAUUCCUUUCCGCUUCCGGGACCCUGACCUCCGGCAGAUGUUUGGGCAGUUUGGCAAAAUCCUAGAUGUAGAAAUAAUCUUUAAUGAACGUGGCUCUAAGGGAUUCGGGUUCGUAACUUUCGAGAAUAGUGCUGAUGCAGACAGGGCCAGGGAGAAAUUACACGGCACCGUGGUAGAGGGCCGUAAAAUCGAGGUGAAUAACGCAACGGCACGUGUAAUGACCAAUAAGAAGAUGGUCACACCGUAUGCAAAUGGUUGGAAAUUAAGCCCAGUCGUUGGAGCUGUAUAUGGUCCCGAGUUGUAUGCAGCAUCCAGCUUUCAGGCAGAUGUGUCACUAGGCAAUGACGCAGCCGUGCCCCUAUCAGGAAGAGGGGGCAUCAACACUUACAUUCCUUUAAUCAUUCCUGGCUUCCCUUACCCAACUGCAGCCACCACGGCGGCCGCUUUCAGAGGAGCCCACCUGAGGGGCAGAGGGCGGACGGUAUACGGUGCGGUCCGAGCGGUACCUCCAACAGCCAUUCCCGCCUAUCCAGGUGUGGUUUACCAGGACGGAUUUUACGGUGCUGACCUCUAUUCAGCUGAAGAAAUGUUAACAUCUCACUCUAAAUCUCUCAGUGGAGUCUCUGUUCCCUUCUCUGAUAUAACAGAUGGGUUACUGCUUGUUAUAAUUAUUAACAUUGUGGUGUGGGCCAGGGCUAGGGUGGGCAAGAUUGACUAUUUCUUGGGCUGGGGAGGGGCCAGUCGUUAGGGUCUGGAAUGUUAACUCAAGUGGUGACUGACUGUUUCCGUAAUACCAGGUCGUUGUGGCUGCACGCUCUAGUAAUUGAGGCUGUGUACUUCACCGAGCUUGUGGUAGAGCCUAGGGCAAACCGCUGUCCCAAGAGAAUGCUGGGAUAGAUAGAGUUAGCCAAUCCGAGUCUGAACGUGGUGAUUUUGCUGGUUGUUUUAGCUCCAGAUGUUGGCAUGCUUAGUUUUUAAUGUGAUUAAUAAAUGUGGCGCCAUAUCCCCUCCCCACGCCUGAACCCUGUCUCUCCUACCCCCCUUCCCGCCCUUGUUCUUUUUGAAAAACUUAAGAAACAGCAAUGAAACCCUUGGUGUUUCAAACUGCACUUUGUUCUCAUGUUCUAUAAACCACCUCAGACUCGCUAGUAGAAAUGAACGUUGAGAAAAGGCUCUCAGCCCAGAGUCCUUAUGCAUUCCAAAAUCCAGAAUAGAAAUAAAUAUAUCUGAAUUUUUGUCUCCUUAUAUUAUGUGAGAUAUUUUCUUGAAUAACCAAUGUAAAGCACCAGCAGAAAUACUUUGUACUCAGAAUACAUCUAAGAGGAGGAAAUCCAUGAUGUACAAUUGAAUUUUUCAAAUUUUGGGGUGGUCACCAGUGAAUUACCAAAUUAGUUUAUUAAAAUGUUACCUGCCUGUCCUAAACAAAGACCCCCCCCCUCCUUUAAAGGGCUUCUCUGUAGUACCAUUAUCAUAAAGUAAUUAGGAGAGUAGACAUGUUGACAUAUUAUUACCUGCUUUUAAAAAAAAUUAAUGUAGUUUUUCUUAAUGUUGAUAUUCUUCUUGAGCCUUUUAUUGUCAAUAAAAUUUUUGCAUCCCUGUCCUGGGUGUUCUGAAUUUGAAUAGCAGAGGACCUCAUCAAAUUCCAGCUCAACAUUAGAGUUCACUUAGAAUAGAAGGUAAGGAUUGCACAUAGCUUAUCUCCACUUCUUCUGGCUUGGAAGGAGACUUCUUUCCCAAGGCCUCCAUUUAGAAUUUAAUUGCUUUUAUGACCCUACCUUUUUCAGUUUUUAAAGAUUAUUUUGGAUUUUGAAGGAAUGCCAGAGUCAAGCCUCCUGAUGCUGGUUUACCACCUUAUCCUAGUUUACAAGGAUGUUUUACAAAAGAUAGCCCUCCUAUAGACUUCACACUAGUAAACUGUAAUUCUUAAUAAGUAGAACCAUCUCUAGUUAUACUGAAAAAUUGAGCCUUCAAGGUUUAUGUAGAGCUUAAAAUUUCAACCAUAAUGAUUAGCAUGUUGUUUUGUUGGGUUUUUUUGUUUUUUGUUUCUGGCUGAGCCAACAAGUAUGCAGAAAUUCCCCUGCCAGGGAUCAAACCUGUGCCAUAGGAGCGACCUGAGCCACUGCAGUGACAAGGCCAGAUCCUUAACCAGCUGAGCCAUGAGGAAACUACAUGUGGUUUUGUUUAACAGAUGUUUUUUACCAUUUCAUUUCUUCUUUAGAAGUUUAAGGAGAACAAAAAGAAAUAAGGUAAAAAGCCACUUCAGCUAGUUUACAUGUAAUGUAUAUAUUUAUGUGUAUAUGUACGGCAGCGCAUGUGUGCCGUCUGGAUGUGCGGCUCUGCUCAGGUCCGUCUGGCCUGCCCAUUCGUGUGAGCCGGGCUGGAAUUCAGAGGAGCACAGCCUCUGCGGGUGCUGCCGGCCACAGCCCUAUCCAUUAUGGUUUCACUGCCAGUGUUUGGUAAUAUUAAUUAGAGCUUUCUUACUUAUAUGAAUAUCUGUGGGAGGAUUUGUAAUUGAGAAAGCAGUGUUUACUUUUCUUAGUCAUUCACUUGAAGAACAAAGGAGGAAUCAUACAAAAUCACUGAAAGCCAAUCAAAGAUUUUUUUUUUUUUUGAAUGUGUUUGAAUCUACUUCUGAUGACUUCAAGCAGCAUAAAUUUAAAGAGCAAGAAUAAAUUUCCUGGAGUUUCCAUUGUGGCUCAGUGGAAACGAAUCCGACUAGCAUCCACGAGGACGAAGGUUCGAUCCCUGGCCUCGCUUAGUGGGUUAAGGAUCCAGUGUUGCCGUGAACCCUGGUAUAGUUCGAAGAUGUGGCUCGGAUCUGGCGUUGCUGUGGCAUAGGCCAGCGGCUACAGCUCCGAUUCAACCCAUAGUUUCUUCCGUUAGAGAAAGUAUAAAUUGUAUAAGAAAGAAGCAAAAAGCCGUAGAAACCUCUAAGAAGGAAUUGCAGGUUUUCCAGAGUAAGGUUUGCUCAGAAUAAAAGCAUCAGGCUAGAAUCUGCCCUUUCAGAUGCCUAAGAACAGGGUCCCCUUAGAAAAUACUUGCUUUCAGUCCGAAGAAAUGAUACUGAAGUAAAUUUGAAAUUUCUUGGAGUUCCCAAAGUGGCGCAGGGGGGUUACGAAUCCUACAGCAGUGGCUCGGGUCACUACAGAGGUGCAGGUUCAAUCCCUGGCUCAGUGCAGUGGGUUAAGGGAUCCAGUGUUGCCGAACCUGCAGCCUAGGUCACACCCAUGGCUCGGGUGGCCCAGGGAUGUCCAUAUAUGCCGCAGGCGCGGCCAUUGAAUAGGUAAAUAAAGAAAUAAAGACAAACUUGAAACUUCCUUUGUGAACAUAGCAAAAAUUGAACAUUGGAAGGAAUAGGAAGUAGCAAGCACAGGGAAGGAAGCAUGUGGGAAAUGGACACACUAACCUCCAGAAACAGGGUGUGCUCCGGCUCACUGCCAGGCGCUGUCGGGUGGCCCCGUUGAACAGCACAGCUGUAUCUGAUGGAAAAGAUUGUAUUACUGUAAAGCAAGAAAGUACUCGCCUGGAGUUCCCCGACGGCUCAGCAGGUUAAGGAUCCAGUGCUGUCACUGCUGUGGCUCGGGUUACCGCUCUGGCACAGGUUUGAGUCCCUAGCCCCAGGAACUUUGCACAUACUGUCAGAACGGCCAAAAAAAAAAAAAAAGUACUCACCUGAAUUAUUAGGUUUAGGUAAAAAUAGAUGAAUUCUAGAGAUGUAGAGAAAAAGAAGGAAAAGGCGCUGGCCACUUUUUUAAAUAGCCUGUCUCACGUGGCACUUGUGCCUGACUCUGAAAUACAUAUAAAGGAGUGCAUAUGCCUCACCCCCACAGUGAGAACCCUUUGAGUAUUUGGUUCAUCUAAACUGUAAAAGAGCAGGAUGGGGGAGUUUGAAACUCUUUAGGACUGAUAGGAUAUUUGAACCCUUGGAAGAAAAGCCGAGGACAGGAAGAAUCCUAAAACCUUAUUUAGGGAAGGAAAUAAAUGCAGUUAAAUGCUCAAGGGCGUUGUGGUCUAUUUGAAUCUUGCCCUAGGAGCCUCAGCCCUUUGUAAUCUGAUGUGCCCGCCUCUGGAGUAGCAGUUGGAAUUGGCGCACUUUUUCUGUAGGGGCCGCGUGGUGGAGAUUUUUGGCUUCAUAGGCCUCACGGUCUCUGUCACAACUACUUUCAAAAACAGGUGGCAGAACUGCACUGGUUCCCAGAUGGAGGUUGGCCAACCCCUGAUAUGCACUGGUUCUUCCUGCUAAAUACGCUAAAUUGUCUUAGCCUCUGGCAAGGGCACUAAGCCACAGGGAGCCUCACACUGUAUGGGCCCUUUCCUCGUGUAAUGAAGUCUCUUAGCAGUAGGUCAAUCUGAGUAGCCUCAGAGAAGCUGAAGUUAACGCAUAUAAAUACAGUGUGUUUUAACUCUGUAAUUUACAUUUCCUGUCAGUCAGAGAAAGUUCUCUGGACCUCUUUGUAAAUAUUUUCCCUUUGAAAGUUCCAACAAAGGCAGAUCCCAAAUCCUGUCUUCAUUUCUUAGAGCUGAGAGGAGGCAGUCUAUCUAGUGUAUUUAUUUUUGUUACUGUUACAAAUUGGAAAGCAGAUCCUUGCCCUCUGUGGAGCUUAAUUUUGCAACAAAUAACAUGCAGACUGAUGCAGUUUGAAACAUUCUCUUCCCACAUGUGUGUCUGUGUUUGUGUCUGUCUCCAUGUGCGUCCCGUCUGUGUAUGUGUAUGUACCUGUGCGUCCGAGUGUGGGUGGGUGUGUGUUCACCUGUCCACCCAGGGGAGAGGUAUCUGUAAAGUCAGGUCUCUUCUCUCCUGUAGGGUGGAUAUGCAGCCUACAGAUAUGCACAGCCUGCUACUGCAACCGCAGCCACCGCUGCUGCAGCCGCCGCCGCCGCUUACAGCGACGGUUAUGGCAGGGUGUACACAGCCGACCCCUACCAUGCCCUCGCCCCUGCCGCUAGCUAUGGAGUUGGCGCUGUGGCGAGUUUAUACCGAGGUGGCUACAGCCGAUUUGCCCCCUACUGAAGUGACGUGAGACCCCUGCAAAUGGGACAGCCCCCCAGUUCAUGAGGCCUGGCUAUUGCAAUAUUUACUAGUAGAGGAACUCUAUAGCAAGAUGAAGAGGAAAAACAAACAAACAAACAAACAAAAAAAAAAAACAAAAAAAGAGAGAAUACUUUUUUAUACCUCACUAUGUUCUUUGAAUAUGUAUUUUUCCUUUAAAUUUCUGCCUUUAAUUCUUUUGUUCCAAAGAUUGUGCAUUUUUUUCUUUUUUCUUUUCUUUUUUUUUUUUUUUAAACUGUGGUAAAAAAAAAAAAAAUGCAUUUCCAUGUCUGUAUGUCCGUGCUUAGCUUAUUCUAUCAAUCACGGAAGAGGCAGUUAAUGAGGAAGGAGAGGCAUUAGGAGCGGAUAAAAGCAUCUGAUCAGAAAUCAGCAGACAGAAUUACCAAAGUGUGUCUGGUGCUGCGUGGCUGGGGAACAAGAAGUGGGAGAGAUCUCUCUGCAGCAGGAUCUCCUCGUCUCCUGAGUUUCUGGUCUUUGGCAGGCAGUUCUGAUUGGCUGUGGCUGGAAUCCACACACUAAUAGAUGGUAGGAAUUCAUGCUUGCAAAGCAGGAGAAUUACGAAGACACUUUCCUCUCCUCUUCCCUCCUGGCUUCUCCAUUCUUUUUACAAUCCUCUUACACGCACAGCCUGAGCCGGUUGGCAUCGUUUUUGGAAUUAUGGUAUUAAUAUUUCCAAACACACGCUCAGACUGUGGAUAAUAAACACCUCAUUAGGAAACCGGUCUCAGAAUGAACUCUGGAGUAUGAAAAAGAUCAUUCUUUUCUCCCCUGGAACCCCAGCGUCCCUGCUGGGCUUCUUCCCUGUUCAUUGAACCACAGCUUCGCUCAUCUCUCCUUUUACUCAUACCCUGCUCCCGUGUCCUCAAGAUUCAGGAAUUUCGGACCCAGGGACAGACGAAUAAAUAGCCAGUGACCAGAUGUCUCCCAGAUGUCUGGACACAGCUUGAGGGCCAGAAUACAAAUUGUUGCGCGCCAGUGAAGAGGGAGAGGGCGAGAAAAGGGGUGUUAGAUGAUGUCUGACAAGGCACCUUGAUGUCCCUCACUCUUUCCCAAAGUCAGCGCAGAGUCUGAAACACACAACAGAGACUCUGUUGGCAAAAGAUAAAGCACAGAGUCCUAGAUCAGCUGUCCCUGGAGGUUUCGGUGAGGAGGGCGUGUAGGGCAGGCAAAGGCACUUUGUCUGAGCUCCAAAGCCAUAGGAAUUUUCAUCUUCCAGCCUUUACGAGUCACUUCUCAGUCCACAGUCUGGGGCCCUCGCGGCCAUUCCACCCAGCUUCUCGUUUCCUCCAAAGACACCCCACUGAGCACCUGGACCACUUGGUCUGUGCGAACACUACAGGACGUGAACUAGGAGCCCUGAGGCUGCCCCUCUCCUGCUCAGGAAGGUGGGACAGAAGCGACCAGGGUCUCAUUUGCUGCCAGAAAGAGUCAGGUGGUAGCCUCAGCAGCGAGUCACUGCUCUCGCUACCCAGCUUCGACUUUAUGUCUCUUUUCGAGGUAGAGGAGACAGUGUUUCUCCUCUGGCUCUUAGCUAUUAAUGGUAAAGGCAAGGGUCCUGCAGCAUUUCCAAAAGGAAGGCAUUAGAAAAUAGAACAGCACGGUCCGUCUGGCUCCCUGGUCUAUUCACAUUGGUACUAGGGUGACCUUUCACCCGAGGGAUAGCUGCUAAAGGGAGUAAUUCAGAGACAUGGAGCUUCUGUUAUGGGUUUGUUUUGGUUUGCUUGGUUUUGUUUUGUUUGUUUUGUUUUUUUUUUUACUCCUGCCUCCACACAUGUUCUUGACCGAUACUGACUCGUGUCCCUGAAUUAAAAUGACUGACAUGUGACAGCAUCAAGCAUUCUUUGUAAGCAGAGGGAUGUAUCUGGCAGGGACCUGGCCUGUCGUGUAGAAUACAUAUCCUCUCCCCCUUCGGAAUCCUCUCUCUGCUAAUAACCGGGAGAGCCACCCUGAAACCAGGGGGGGCGUCAAGGAAGCUAGAGGCCUCGAUGCAAUUCUUACAGAUUCUGGGGAGGAAAGCACAGAGUAGGGGGUGCCAAACUGCCCAGUCCGUUGGCCAUUUUUUUAAGGGUUCCCCUCCCCGAGCCAAAGUUUGGUUUGUUGCUGUUAAGACAAUUUUUGUUGUGUGUGUGUAUAUAUAUAUAUUUUAGUUGGGGUGGGGGAUGGGACGUGGGGCUCUCACAGGUCUAGGGAAUGAGGGCAGGGAGGAUAAUUUUCCUUUCUUUCUUUUGCUGUUGUUUUAAGGGAGAGCUUUUACUGACUCAAGAAACAGAGAAAUUUUGUGUCCUGUUCAAAUAGGGGCCAUUCUCACAAAUGGCAAGCCACGACUCAGUGGAGACAAGGCCAAAUUCUAAAUGUUGUAUCUGUAGCAGGAGAGGGAAAUCGGGCAGUGAGUCCAAGAAUGUUCUAUCUAUUCUUUUUUCCAAAAAGAGGUAAGGAUGAUGGGAAAGGCAGAGAAGGCAGCUCCCACAGCCCCCAAGAGCGGCCGGAGCCUGAGCGCUUGUGCAUUUCAGUUCAGCUGGUUCUGGCUGAGGACUCCUUAGGCAGGCUCCGUGGUUUCCAGCGGGCCUCUGCUGCAUUUCCAGGGCUGGUUUUAACACUGCUUCCUUCGGCUCCCUGUACUAAGGACUCCGUAGAGCCCCGCUUGUUAUUAAAGGGCCCUUGGUUUUCAGUGUCAGCACUGAGAAUCCAGGCUCUCAGAGCGCCUCGGUUUGAUGGUCUCAACCUCCCCAUCCGCCUUUGAACUUCGAGACUCCGUACAGGCAGUUUCAUCAGAGGCAGGUUCUUCACAGCAUCCGUGCUUGUUUAUUCCUGACUCUGGUUCCCAUUGGACUAAGACACAGAGUCAGAAGAGAGUUGGGCAUCUUGGGAGUUUGUUAGAGGAUGUGCUGGUGGAUGAUUCCAAAAACCCUCUCGAUGCCGAGUCACAGUACGUGAAUUUCGACAGCUCUGCUCCAGGCAUGAGGCGGACGGACUUCUCUCCCGAGCAUCUCAGUCUUAGAGGCCAGGCUCCUUGCAGGAGGCCUCUGGGGAGACCUUCAUGUGCACACCCCUCUUUCAGCCCAGAGAGCCGCCCUUAGCGCUUCUUCAGAAUUCCUUACAUUACCUAGUUCGACUCCCACCAACCCCCGUCAGCUGUUGUGAGUCAUCAUUUUUAAGGCUCUCAGGUUUUGCAAAACCUACCCUCCUCCUCCUCCUCCACAGCCACAGUUGGCGUUGAACCAGUUUUACUUCCCCUUGAAAAAGAAGGGGGCUGGGGCUCAACUCUUAGUUCAAGGGGAGCUAGUGGAGAGCAACUCCACAGACAUCGACAAUUAGCUUUUCCUCGACAGAGUGACUCCUCAGGGGCUGAACUGCUCUUAGUUUAGUUCUACUUUCCUAGAAACAAUAGCAGCUAAGUCAGUGAGCCACCACCACCCUCUAACUAGUCACGGAGCUUCCAGACGUGAGGGAGGCCUAAGCCCGGGAUGGAAGCCACCCCAAGGGUCUGCAGGAAGGGCUGGAGUGCCCCCUUCCCCCUGGCAGGAGGCCGAGGCCGCGUGAGGAAGCCCAGAGGCGCUGUAAGGAGGGAAGGGGGCACCGUCGGGGCGGCCCCCCUUUCACCAAGUCCAGCCGCUUCUCUGCCGCUUGCAACCCUCUCACACAGUAACAUUUGCAAAAUCGCAGAUUUGUUUCCCCCGGAUAAUAGGAGGCAAGGGACUUUGGGGGGUGGGGAAGGGGUAGUGGUGUUUUAAAAGCAUAAGUUACCUGUUUGCACUGUUUUAAGAUAGGAAAACAUAGUGGGCAAGGUGAACAUCCAACGUGAUUUGUGUGUUUUUAUUUUGUCAUGCUCUUGAAAAUGUUUGACCAUUUGUAGUAUACACCAGUGAAACUUGAUUCUCUGUUGCAUAAAACACUUUUUUAAAAUUUUUUUUAUUUUAUUUUUUUGGAAAUGUUACUGUCCAAAAGCCUCUUCCCUCCGUCCCCCUCUCCCCGUGUACUUCCUUCAUACUUGCUUUACUGAUGAGCCGGGCAAUAGCCACCCGAAAGCUAGAGCGUGAAGCAGGGCCCUUUCCAAGUAGACUCCGGGUGUCCUAAGCCAGCGUGCGCCCCCUGGUUUAGUGAGUGCAGUGAGUCCCCAGCACCUGCCUUUCAAACGCGGCGUGCACACCAGCCUAGGCAAGUUCUCAAAUUCCGAAUCAAAUGCACGAGGAGCCAGGAGCCGAGGGCUGGAGGGGAUUCCUCAAGUCCUGCCAGUCGCCCGUGGUAGCUAGUUCUUCUCCCUGUUACCGGGUCUGUAACCAGUUACAGUUCACUCAGGAAAACGGUAGAUCAAUUCAGCCAUGGUAGUGCUGGUUGGCAGGGACUGGUAACGGAGAGAACCGCUCGGCAGCCACAACUCAAACCCUGCCUUUAAGGAGACUGCCGGCCGGGGCGCUGGGUCCCCGCCUGGCAGGGACACACCCGCCGGUGUCGGGAGGGCCCAGCUCCCUGGCCAGCGAAAAGGGAGCAUGGCUUCUCUUUUCUCUCCCCGCCCCCUGCCCGUUACCAACGCCAGAGUCCCAGGGGGUACAGAAGUUUUUGCAUUUUUUAAACAUUUUUUGGUUUGGUUUUUCCGGGGACUGAUACAUGCUUUAAGCAAUGUCGACACCCCAUCAAGACCCCCAGCCUAGUCAUUUUCUUGUAUUUUUUCUGUUCACAGUAUUUUUGUGUGUGUGUGUGCUUGUUUUGGCAGCUCAUUUUUGGCUGUAUUAUAUAUCGAGUGACGAAUUGAUCUUUUUUUUUUUUUUUUGGCCCCCCCUAAGGGAUAUGAAUUGUUUCUUUCUUGUGUUAUAAUUCUGCUUGUGAAUAGCUGGAGCAAACCUGGGACUGACACACGUAAGCCAGGGCUGCAAAGUGCCCAGAGAGCCAGUUGAGUUUCCUUGUCCCAGACAGGCGGACCUACUGAGUCUCUGAGCUUUUCAGCCCAGAUCUUUGCAAGGCUAGAAAUGCCACCGACCCCCCCCCCAACUUUUCCCCCCAUCCCCGCCCCCAUGGCAGGGAUGGAACCAUCCCUACAUGCCACAUGCAGUUUCUCCGGCCCCCUCCCGUUGCCAUGGCAAAACAGGUACCUUUGGGGCACGGGGCAUCACAUGGGAUGCUUGUGUUAUCAACCACCUCACCUUCCUCCCCUCCUCACCCCCCCCCCAGAAUCACUUCCUAGGACACCCGAGCUGCUUGCCCAGGGUCCUGUUUCCCUGCAGCCUCCAGAGAAGCACCCAGGGCUUUGUGACAGUCUCUACUCCCCUCCCCUUCUUGUUAAGAAUCAUAUUGUAUAGUAGCUUUCAGACCAUACAGUAUUCAUUGGGUUAUUCCUAUUAUUAUCAAGUAGCUGGAAUUGUGAAGGUCGGAGUAGUUAGAGCUUUAGCUUUUAUUCCUUAUUUUUUUGUAUUACUAUCCAUGUGUAUAAAUUAUUGAUCAUGUUGCUGGCUUUUAUAAACUCUAAGCGAAGGAGGAGCACCGCCUCUGCCUUUGCAAAUGGUAAUGAAGCACUGUUUUUAAAUAAAAGAGAGAAACACCA